rnacentral:rRNA from 1 species
AGCUCGAUGAGUAGGGCGGGACACGUGGUAUCCUGUCUGAAUAUGGGGGGACCAUCCUCCAAGGCUAAAUACUCCUGACUGACCGAUAGUGAACCAGUACCGUGAGGGAAAGGCGAAAAGAACCCCGGCGAGGGGAGUGAAAAAGAACCUGAAACCGUGUACGUACAAGCAGUGGGAGCACGCUUAGGCGUGUGACUGCGUACCUUUUGUAUAAUGGGUCAGCGACUUAUAUUCUGUAGCAAGGUUAACCGAAUAGGGGAGCCGAAGGGAAACCGAGUCUUAACUGGGCGUUAAGUUGCAGGGUAUAGACCCGAAACCCGGUGAUCUAGCCAUGGGCAGGUUGAAGGUUGGGUAACACUAACUGGAGGACCGAACCGACUAAUGUUGAAAAAUUAGCGGAUGACUUGUGGCUGGGGGUGAAAGGCCAAUCAAACCGGGAGAUAGCUGGUUCUCCCCGAAAGCUAUUUAGGUAGCGCCUCGUGAAUUCAUCUCCGGGGGUAGAGCACUGUUUCGGCAAGGGGGUCAUCCCGACUUACCAACCCGAUGCAAACUGCGAAUACCGGAGAAUGUUAUCACGGGAGACACACGGCGGGUGCUAACGUCCGUCGUGAAGAGGGAAACAACCCAGACCGCCAGCUAAGGUCCCAAAGUCAUGGUUAAGUGGGAAACGAUGUGGGAAGGCCCAGACAGCCAGGAUGUUGGCUUAGAAGCAGCCAUCAUUUAAAGAAAGCGUAAUAGCUCACUGGUCGAGUCGGCCUGCGCGGAAGAUGUAACGGGGCUAAACCAUGCACCGAAGCUGCGGCAGCGACGCUUAUGCGUUGUUGGGUA